UACGUAGGUGGCAAGCGUUGUCCGGAUUUAUUGGGCGUAAAGAGCUCGUAGGCGGUCUGUCGCGUCUGCUGUGAAAUCCCAGGGCUUAACCCUGGGCCUGCAGUGGGUACGGGCAGACUAGAGUGCGGUAGGGGAGAUCGGAAUUCCUGGUGUAGCGGUGAAAUGCGCAGAUAUCAGGAGGAACACCGAUGGCGAAGGCAGAUCUCUGGGCCGUAACUGACGCUGAGGAGCGAAAGCAUGGGGAGCGAACAGG
rnacentral:rRNA from 1 species